AAAACUAAUUGUCUCCAACAUAAAUCGUCCCAAAUUACUAGAAAAACAAGAAGCCUUUCAUCCAUUAGAAAUUAUUUCAAAGCAUUACACUCACCAUUAUCUCGAACUUGCAAUCGUAUUUUUGAAUCUAUCGAGUUAAGAUAUUUUUGUGCAAGUGUUUUCAUUUCCUUAUACUUUUAUAUUCAAUUAAAUAGGCAUAGAUUGCCAGUGGACAUUCGGAUUCCAUAAAAAGCGAGAUGAAAUCUUACGGGAUUAUAAGAGGACCUAAGAUGGGUAUAUCGCUUGGUCACCAAUAUACUCCAUAAGCGCAGAGUGUCGAAAUCACAUCAAAUCAGUCAAAUCAGCAACAGUACCGAGCUCGGACUCGGGUCGCUGAAUUCUUCUGUGAUUGGUCGACGAGGUCGAUGGCCAUCUGUCAAUGUUUUUCCCAGGUAAUGAUGACCUGCAAGGGACUUGAGGAUUAGGACUUAGGUUUGGUAGUUUCGGCCGACGAUGAUGUCACCUGCAGCAAGUGUAUUUGAUUGAUAGGGUGAUGUGACAGGGGAUAAUCAUGAUGUUUUUCUGAGAUAACGGCGGGAUUGUCCGACCUAGGAAUAGGAACCGAACUCCCAUUUGCCUGAGGUGGGGUUAGCGAACUGUUUUAAUUUAGAUCGGAGUUCGAUUGUCAACAGUUACCCCCAGGUCAGUUCUGCAGUGGGGGGCUGACCUCAGUGAUGCUUUCUCCAAGAAGUGUAUUUAUUGCUGCACCAAGUGUCAUCUUUUGAUGGGGAUUAGCUGUACGGUAUUUGUAAGUAGCUUCUUCAGCAAACUUGGUUAAAACUAUGUCGUUUCGGUCUCUCAAGCUUCUGAGCUGUUGAUUUUCCCCUCAUUUCUGGAUAGACGGUUCAGAUCGUGCCCUCUCAGUUUUUCUUUCUUUAAAUUCCUUUUGGCCAGUAAUUUCGCCUCCUAUUUCACUGGUUUAUUCUCUCUCAAAUAUUCGUGCAAUCUCCUGAGUUCGUUUUUCCAUUUUCGAGUAAGGUCGUUUUCCCAGUUCAUUUCCUAGGUAUUCUUCUGUUCUUAUUUUUCUUCCUCCUUUCAGUUUGUGCUUUGUUUUCUAGUUUAUACAUGAGUUCGGAAGAGUCUAGAGUUCAUUCCUGGGGAAACCAGCAGGAAGAGUCAAUUUCUCUUUCGACGAGUUCGUCCUCUAGUUGUAGGGAAGUUUUCACCCCUAUUCCUAUUUCCAUAAUUAACCCAAUCGACUUAGGAUUUCUUGUCAUAGACUUUGGAUGUUAGGGUUCCAAGGGAGAGGGUAGAUCCAAUAAGGAUGUUGAGGAGAGUAAUUCUGGAGAGUAGGGGGGACGAGUUCGUACAGGUCGGUCGUAACAGGGGAUAUGUUAGCCAGCUGGGGAGCUAAAUACGCUAUCCCUAGUUCGAUAGUGAUGAUAAUACCAGAACCAUUUGACCGAGCUGACACUCUUCCUGAGGGAUGUGUUGCUCUGAACUCAGCUAUCCUUCAGGCCGGCCUUAGACUUCCCUUUCCUAGGGCAAUUCGUAAAUUCCUUUCUUCCUAGGGCAUAGCUCCACACAGUUAUGCCCUAACGGGUGGCGAACCUUAAUCGUCGCCCUUAUUCUAUGGGACCAAAUGGGGAAUCCCGAGCUUAGUGUCCAGCAGUUCGACUCUGUGUUUACUUUUAAGGAGGAUGGGAAGAACUCGGGUUGGUGGUACACAAGCGUUAUGCCCAGGAAAGGGGGUUCUCUGGUGUUAGACACCCCUUCCUCAGUUAAGAAAUGGAAGGAAGAAUGGUUAUAUGUAUCGAGGGAGUGGCAGUUUCAUUCUGCCGGGGUGAAUAGAGAGGAUGUGGUCCCCAGGCUCUAUCAUUCUUUAUAUUACAAGAAGGAGAUGUUAACCAAAGAUACGCAGAGACGAGCUAAGGUAAUAAGAUCGUUAUCCAAAAGGCAAAGGUCCUGUAAGUUUGUGAUCUUAGAUCCGAACUUAUUCCGGGUCGGCUUGGUGCAAGUACGAGCUUCAAGUUCGGCUCCUUCCAGUUCAGGUUAUAUUUUAACCCUCAUUCGCGGUUGUGGUAUAUAUAUAUUGAGCGUUUCACUAUUUUCUCAGCUCAUCAAGACGAGAUGCGGGGCACAAGGUAGUAAUGGCAGCGGUUGCAGUCAAAGGAAAAAAGAGAGAUGUCUCAGAACGGUCGGAGAGCCAUUCUGAAAAGGUGGAGGAGGAGGUUCCACUGAAGAGGAACUGAUCUGCGCCCCUGGUUGCACUGAAGAUUCCUGAGGCUGUGCCUUUAUCGAGCUCGUCUCCUACUCUGUCGUCGCCUUCUUUGCCAUCCCCAGUUGCACCCUUUGCUGUCGGGACCAAUUCUGUGAACUCGUAGGAGAGGUGCCCAGAUUAACAGAGGUCGAGCUUGGAGAGUUUAGUGGGACACCGACCAAAGAUAUUUCUUGAUUAUCUCCGAGCUCCUUCUCCUUCUAAGGAGGUGACUACCACGCUCACUUCACCAUCGAGAGAGUUAGCUAAUCUGCUUAUUAGGAGCUUGGGUGAGAGAGAGCGGGGCUAUCUGAAUGAGAUGCCCAUUGGUGAGGCCUUGGUCACUGCUCAGCUCCAUGGUCACCAAUCAAUUUUAUACAUGAUGGCAAUGGCGGACAAGUCUGAGCUGGACAAGCUUAUAGAGGAAAAGGAUCAGUCCUUUAGUCUUUAUAACAGCAUGGAGGCUGAAAAUGCCCAGUUUGCUCGAAGGAGAGAGUAUGAAGAGAAGCUGAAUCAGAUGAGGAUCGAGCUAAACUCCAGGAUCGAUGUCGAGGAAAAACUGAUGGGAAAGAUCAAGGCCUUAACGGCCUCAGAGGAAGAAGCCAGAGCUCGGGCUGAGGAGCAUGGCAAGGUCAGGGAGGCCAUCCAGAAAGUAUAAGAGGCCAACGAAAGGGCAAGGAAGGCCACCAGAAGGGCUGAAGAGGCUGAAGCCAAGGCUGAUAAAGCGGUGGAGGCUUGGAAGAAAUCCCCCGAGUUUGACGUCGUAGCCAAGGACAUCUACGUGGUAGCACUGGAGGAGCUGGUGGGGCACAUCAGGAAGGAGAGGCCUGACAUUGACGUGGCCUUUCUGGAUGAAGCGUUGGACGGGCAGAAGGAGGAGCUGCGGAAGUUGUCUGAGGCUGCUGGAGUCCGAAUAUUAUCGGUUGUCCAAGAUGUUGAGGGUAGUACCCCAGCCCCCCAAGACCCCUAGGAGGUUUUUUUUUCUUUCAAAACAUUGUGUGGUAUUUAGUUUUGUAAUAUGUUUUGGCUUAUUAGUGAAUUUCGUUUUGAUGUUUCAUGGCAUUUUGUUUGGAAUGGAUGAUUGUUUAUGCUCA